rnacentral:rRNA from 1 species
UACGUAGGGUGCAAGCGUUGUCCGGAUUUAUUGGGCGUAAAGCGCGCGUAGGCGGACCUGCAAGUCAGAUGUGAAAUCUCGGGGCUCAACCUCGAAACUGCGUCUGAAACUACAGGUCUAGAAUCUUGGAGGGGGAAGGGGAAUUUCUCAUGUAGGGGUAAAAUCCGUAGAUAUGAGAAGGAACACCAGAGGCGAAGGCGCCUUCCUGGACAAGUAUUGACGCUGAGGCGCGAAAGCGUGGGGAUCAAACAGG